rnacentral:rRNA from 1 species
CCUACGGGGGGCAGCAGUGGGGAAUAUUGCACAAUGGGGGAAACCCUGAUCCAGCGACGUCGCGUGAGUGAUGAAGUAUUUCGGUAUGUAAAGCUCUAUCAGCAGGGAAGAAAAUGACGGUACCUGACUAAGAAGCCCCGUCUAACUACGUGCCAGCAGCCGCGGUAAUACGCAGGGGGCAAGCGUUAUCCGGAUUUACUGGGUGUAAGGGGAGCGUAGACGGCGGUGCAAGCCAGAUGUGAAAGCCCGGGGCUCAACCCCGGGACUGCAUUUGGAACUGGGCUGCUAGAGUGUCGGAGAGGCAGGCGGAAUUCCUAGUGUAGCGGUGAAAUGCGUAGAUAUUAGGAGGAACACCAGUGGCGAAGGCGGCCUGCUGGACGAUGACUGACGUUGAGGCUCGAAAGCGUGGGGAGCAAACAGGAUUAGAUACCCCUGUAGUC